UCGGGCGACAAGCUUUUAUAGAACUCUGUU
rnacentral:piRNA from 1 species